rnacentral:rRNA from 1 species
CCCUUAGAUGUUCUGGGCCGCACGCGCGCUACACUGACUACUUCAACGAGUUGUUUCCUUGAUCGAAAGGUCUGGGUAAUCUUUGAAAGGUAGUCGUGAUGGGGAUAGAUCCUUGCAAUUUUUGAUCUUCAACGAGGAAUUCCUAGUAAACGCAAGUCAUCAGCUUGCAUUGAUUACGUCCCUGCCCUUUGUACACACCGCCCGUCGCACCUACCGAUUGAAUGGUCCGGUGAAAUCUCGGGACGGCGGCUUGGUCGCUUGCGUCCGACUGCUGAAACUUGAUUAAACCAUAUCAUUUAGAGGAAGGUGAAGUCGUAACA